rnacentral:rRNA from 1 species
GGCUAAUCUGCCCUUGGGAUAGGAAUACCCCCGGGAAACUGGGGCUAAUUCCCAAUAGGUGAAGAACUCUGGAAUGAGUCUCCACCCGAAAAGAGCUUACGUUAUGCUCGUAAGUUUCGCCCAAGGAUGAGGCCGCGACCGAUCGGGUUGUUGGCGAGGUAAUGGCUCACCAAGCCUUUUACCGGUGCGGGCCGUGGGAGCGGGAGCCCGGAGAUGGGUACUGAGACAAGGACCCGGGCCCUACGGGGCGCAGCAGUCGCGAAAACUUUGCAAUAAGCGCAAGCUUGACAGGGCUAUCCCGAGUGCCAUCCGCUGAGGAAGGCUUUUACCCAGUCUAGAACGCUGGGGGAAUAAAGAGAGGGCAAGUCUGGUGUCAGCCGCCGCGGUAAUACCAGCUCUCCGAGUGGUGUGGAUGUUUAUUGGGCCUAAAGCAUCCGUAGCUGGCUAAGUUAGUCCCCUGUUAAAUCCACCGAAUUAAUCGUUGGAUCGCGGGGGAUACUGCUUGGCUAGGGGACGAGAGAGGCAGACGGUAUUUUCGGGGUAGGGGUGAAAUCCUAUAAUCCCGGGAAGACCACCAGUGGCGAAGGCUGUCUGCUAGAACGCGCCCGACGGUGAGGGAUGAAAGCUGGGGGAGCGAACCGGAUUAGAUACCCAGGUAGUCCCAGCUGUAAACGAUGCAGACUAGGUGUUUGGACGGCCACGUGCCGUUCUAGUGCCGCAGGGAAGCUGUUAAGUCUGCCGCCUGGGGAGUACGAUCGCAAGAUUGAAACUUAA